GUUUUAGCAAAGGAGGAACACAAGGAGGGGAGGGAACAGCCAGCAGAAAAGAAAUUAGGCAAUGCUAUGGCAAGUCAACAUCACAAAUGGAAUCCAUUCCCUUUCACCAGGAGCAUAGAGCAAAGUGGAAAACCAAACAAAUAAAGUUCCAUAGGCAAGAGUCCUAAAUGCUAAAUGUGAGAACAUCAGAAGACCUUAGAAGCAAAGAAACUAAGUGGAAAGGUGUCACUCUUUUUUCGAUCAGGAAAAGCAUGGCUUGUGAGUCAGCAGUGCAUUUUUCCACGUAUUGUUCAGAGUUCUCCUCCAGCAUGGAUCUGCUAGACAAAUGUAGAUGUUGAUUUAUGAGCAAUAAUUUGAGAACAAGGAAAAAUAACACCAUAAAAAAGCUUUAUGAAUUUCUUCAUUCACAUGGGAAAGCUGAUCCAGGUCAUUUCCAGUAAGGUAUGUCCAGAG